CAGGAGUAUACCAAGAUCUCACAUAAGGCAGCUGAUCUGGUGGAUGACUAUCUAGCACAGGAGCUGUGUGAGAGUUAGCAUGCCUCUGGGCAUUAGAUGUUUUUCUGUUAAAUGAGGAAAGAUACCUGAAUCUUUCUUGGAGAGUUGAGCUCAGUAAGUGACUAUGCGAAGACCAGGAAAGGUAUUAACGUUAAACCAGUGCAGCACCAACAGGAAGCUAAACUCAAGUCUUUACUUAACUAAGAAGAUACUACUGACACAACUGGCCACAGUGGAAGUCCUGUUACUGGAGGCUCUCCGCAGCCCCAUUGGGGUGGUUCCAGCAGAUCUAAAAAGUCAGCUGUCCCCCUCCUCGGUACAGUACCAUUCGCAGAAAUCAGAGCAGGAGUGCAGAGCGAGAAAGGGCAGAGACAACAAGAGCAGAAGAAAGCAGUGUGCCUGCGAGAGGGAUAUGAGGAGAAAAAGAGAGACUUUUCUUUGAUGUAUUCGUUUCCUCUUAUUAGUAUCCAUCUAGUGGUGCUCAGGCCGAGACGGCUGACCUGUCCAAAAGUUAGUGAUCCACACACAAUCCACUCCCAAUAGUGCCAAAGUACAGACAUCACAGGACGAAAAUAGCAGCAGUUGAGAUGAAGGAGGAAGCCACGGGCUGCCAGAUGUGAGUGGGAAUAACCUAAGUUCACCCAAGUGGCAGAGGUACUGUCUUAGUUUGCAGAGAGUGAGGGAAAAACAUCUUAACAACCUCAUCCUCCCGCCUAUCUCACGGCUCUGCUGUGUUUUCUGUGCCGUGCUGAUAAAGACUGCCCGCGCUUGAAAGGGCCUGGCGGGCCCGGGGUCAGCCGCAGACAAUCUCUCUAAUUGCGUGGGUCUGGCUGACCUCCGCGUUGCGGGGCGAGCAGGGACCGCGGCAGACAGAGAGGACAAGGGAAAAGGCGGGGGAAACGUUCCUGCCACGGUGGCAGCCGGCUUAAAACUUGCUUCGGAUUGCUCCCCAGAGACGGUGCCCGCGCCACGCUCAGCUCUGAUGGAAGGAGGCAAGGAGACAUUUUGCCCAGGCAGCAAGUCGAUAGCUGCGCUCAUAGGUAUCGCCUCCUGAUAAUGCCUUCUGACAAACGGCUGUCAGCGCUCCACAAACUUGGCUCAAGAAGGCAGAAAAUGAAAACUUGCUGCGAGUUGUUGCUGCUGCUUCACGUAGUUGCUCGGCCUGCACCAUCUCCUCUCUGGGCACCCAUGUUCCUGAGGAGAAGGAGAUCUCACGGGUGGGCAGCGGUAACGUGAGCCACGGGCUCUGAAAGCCAUGGGAAAGAGAAGCACGGGGAGUAAGUACUCAAAACCACUGAACAGCUCUGUAGUGUAUUUUUAGAGUAAUUGUGGUGAGAAGUGGCAGGAUGUGCCUGAUGGGUUUGUGCCUGUGCUAGCCCAUGGAGCAGGCAGCUGAGAGGCAGCGUGCUGUGCCAGGAGCUGCAGCAGCAGCGUGCCCUCUGUGGCAGCAGGACCGUCGUGGUGGCUUGGCUGUGGCACCUCCUUGGUGGGACAGGGAGCUCCUGGAGUCAGGGAGCCCUCUGUGCUCACUACAUUUCAGGAGGCUGCGAUGCGCUGUAGUGUGUAAGGACGUUGCCUGUUAACUUCCCGGCCUGGCACGAGGAAAGGUAGAGCCUCCUCCAUGUGCAGAGGAGCUCAGUGCCUGCAGUUGCCACUGACCCUUCUGGUUGCUCCGGAUGUCCUGCUCAGUCAUGGGGAUCCUCAUGGAAAUACGGACUAGUCCCUGCAGCAUGGGAGAAGCACUGCACUACACCUUCCAGCCACGACACAGAAAGCUGGCGGGCUCUGGGCUCCUCCCUGGUGAUGCUGCCCUGCUGGGCCAGGCAGCGUGAGAGCCCGCACCAAGCGCAGGACGAGGAGCCUUAACGCGCUCAACUGGGCUGCUUGGCCUGGCAGUUCCGAGCGGAUUAUCCACUUGAAGCUCACGCAGUUGUUGGUGAACUUUGACACAAAAGGAUUUGGAAAGCUUUAGGGCCAGAUAAGCACAGCAGUGCGGGUGGGGAAGGGAUUUCAGGAACGGCUCAGUCCGUCUCCUGCUGUGAAAUGGGAUCAGUGCAUCCAGACUGCUGGUGGUUCUCUGCUCACCUGAUAGCAAAAAAAAAAAAAAAAAAAAAGAAAGUGAAAAAGUGUUGGCGUGGCAUUGGAGGCAGCUUGUUUCAGGGCUUAUAAUUACAAAGUUCUUCCUCAAGGCCAGACUCCUAUCUCCCAGUCAUCGGAGCUGGGCAUCCUCACCCUGGCACCAUGGACCUGGAGGAGGAUUAGUUUGCUCCUCUACAUGAAACCCUUCACAUGACGGAAAUUCUCCGUAUUCACAAGGCAGCUCGCUCCAAGAAGUCUCGGAACAAGAGCCACCAUCCCUCCUGCCUCUGGCCAGCACGAAUCAGGCCUCAGUGACCAGUGGUCCAAGGAAACCUGACUGAAAGUCUGCAUAAAGCAGCAGCUGCAGUAAGCCACCAUGUUUAACCUGUACUCGGCCCCGGCUGUGCUACUUUUUAUGGGAGUCCAUUAUUUUUUGAACUUUGAAGGUUUCCAUAAACUUUGUCCAUCUAUUAUCAUGCGGCGCAAUACCAGUUCACUGUAGUUUCUGUAUUUGUGUUGUCUGACACAGCACACUUGUGACUUCCCUAAUCCAUAUAAUCACAAUCUGCUGUCUGACUUGAAAGUUCUGGUGACACGGAAAGCGAUUUUAUUUAAUACUGAGAGUCGCUCACUCAGAGAGGCUUACUGGGAGAGGAGUACCACAAACUUCUCUUUAUUUGGAGUGACUGAGGGGUCGGUUUCAUUGAAAUAUAAGCUUAUCCUGAAGUUCAUUUCAUUUCCCUACUUGAAGAAGCAUGGUGAUGGCAGACUGAGGGUCUUAUGCUCAGCAGACAGCUCGCUGCAGGCUGGUGGUUGUGUGCACUGAAACCAGCGGCACUGGAGGACACCUGCCAUGGGUAGCAGCAUCCUCCUGCAGCAGCCCAGCUUGCGGAGGGACCCGCAGCCCCACUGGAGAGGGCAUUCCCUAGUUCCUUCCAGCCCAAGGUGGUGGUGUCAGGGUGCUGAGUCGGUGGGGCUGUGCACAAAGCAGCCUGCUCAUGGACUGGUGCCCUUUGGGGGUCUGUGGGGUGUGUGCUGGUACUGCCCUCACUCCCGGGGCUGGUUUGUGGUGGGGCUGGAGGGUGCCAGCAGUCCAUGAGAGUGCCGGGCAAGCUGUUGUGCUGUUACGUUUCGCUACCUAUCGUUGUCAUGUCACCUGUAAUGCAUGAAUUAUACCCCCAUAGUGUGUAAUUAUAUUUCUCCUCCCAGCCCUGCUCAAGGAACGAUGGAAGGAUGGAGCUGUUAAUAUUAAAACCAGCACAUCUCCCUCAAAAAAAGUUAGAGGUCACACCUUAAUUCCUAGUGCGUGAGUGUGGUUAAUCAGGAGAUGAUGGGACUAGAAUGAGUAUGGGGACAGAAAUAUCCUGCACAAUUUCUUGUGGAAUUUAAUUAGAAAGGAAGUAUUAAUAGCAUCUGCAUGUGCAACUCUGUUUUGCCUUGCAAUAUGAAUAGCCUUACCCAGAGACAGGCUGAUGGAAAACCCAUUGAACUUCUCUGUAUUUCCUUUUUUUUUUUUUUUAAUAAAGGAAAAUAAUGAGCUGAAAUCA
rnacentral:lncRNA from 1 species